AUACGGAGGACGCGAGCGUUAUCCGGAUUCAUUGGGUUUAAAGGGUGCGCAGGCGGCCGUGCAAGUCAGCGGUGAAAGCCCGGGGCUCAACCCCGGAAGUGCCGUUGAUACUGCAUGGCUGGAAUGCGGUCGAGGCGGGCGGAACGUGGCGGGUAGCGGGGAAAUGCGUAGAUAUGCCACAGAACGCCGAUAGCGGAGGCAGCUCGCCAGGCCUGCAUUGACGCUCGGGCACGAAAGCGUGGGGAUCGAACAGGAUUAGAUACCCUGGUAGUCCACGCCGUAAACGAUGGGCGCUCGUCGUCGGCGGCAGACAGUCGGCGGCCAAGCGAAAGCGAUAAGCGCCCCACCUGGGGAGUACGGUCGCAAGGCUGAAACUCAAAUGAAUUGACGGGG
rnacentral:rRNA from 1 species